CAUUUUCACAUAUUGCAAAGUCCAGCUGAGAAUUACCACCGAGGAGAGGCUCAUUACUGGGGAAUGGAAUAGCACCUUGGUUUUGUUCUGAAGUCUCCAGAACUUCUGCUUCUGAAGGACAUAACUGAAUCAACUCUUUAUUCGGCACAUUGCUGCAGUUUACAGUUAAAGCUGGAGAUGGUGACUUUCUCAAGAGAUGUGAUGGACUUAACUCCCCAGGCGGUGAAGAAUGCAACCUUUGUAAUUCUAAUAUUUCAUUUGCAAUUUCAGUUCCUAUACUUCCAGCA
rnacentral:lncRNA from 1 species